CACGUAGUUAGCCGGGGCUUCUUAGUCAGGUACCGUCUUGUCUCGUUCCUGCUGAUAGAGCUUUACAUACCGAAAUACUUCUUCACUCACGCGGCGUCGCUGCAUCAGGGUUUCCCCCAUUGUGCAAUAUUCCCCACUGCUGCCUCCCGUAGGAGUUUGGGCCGUGUCUCAGUCCCAAUGUGGCCCGUCCACCCUCUCAGGCCGGCUACUGAUCGUCGCUUUGGUAGGCCGUUACCCUGCCAACUGGCUAAUCAGACGCGGGUCCAUCCCAUACCACCGGAGUUUUUCACACAGGAGCAUGCGCUCCCGUGCGCUUAUGCGGUAUUAGCACCUGUUCCAGGUGGUAUCCCCCGGUAUGGGGCAGGUUACCCACGCGUUACUCCACCCGUCCGCCACUAAGAUACUCAUUUACCAAAGUGCAAGCCACCCCUUCCGUCAGCACUCCCCGUUCGACUUGCAUGUGUUAAGCACGCCGCCAGCGUUCAUCCUGAGCCAGGAUACAAACUCUA
rnacentral:rRNA from 1 species